GAAUCGAAACAACAAAGGACUGACUGAAUCUCAAAGUAAAGUAAAAGUAAAUCAAAUAAUCCUGUUUUCUGAGUAACAUUCUCGAGAAGAAACAUACAAAGAAAAAGAAUGCCCCUCUCUGUAUCUCCAUAUAGUAAUUCUACUUGGUGUAAACUGUACCCUGAACCCCCCAAAAUAAUACAACAGACAACUCUAGACUCCGAGACCAACAAUUUCCAGAGCAUAGGCACUGAAGAUCCAUUCCACAAAAUUGGAUCCGCCAGGCAGUAGGAAGAAGGAAAGAAAAUUAAUAAGCUAAGGAGAAGCAUGCCCUCAUAAAUUUGAUAAUUUCUUGGUAAACCAAUCUGAAAGACGCUUCAUUUUCAGUGAAAGCUCCCUGUUUUUGGCAAAGUAAGCCUCACCAUUUGCUAUCAUCACAGAGAAAUCAUGCUUCAUUGCUUUCAAGCUUCUAUAAUAGUUGUUCUCUAACCUUAACCGGAUUAUUUCAGGUGAUAGAGGAACAGGGAACCUAUUCAUGAAGUCCAGUUUCACAGCAACUUGUUUCAAUUUUAGAAUCCCAAAGUUAUCCUGAUUUCUGCUUGCUGACUGCAAUAGUUCAGUGACAGAUGACAACACUCUAUUUUUGCUUUCCAAGUCAAGUUGAGAUUGCUCCCAUGAACUAUCUACAUCAUGCAGUUCCCAGGGACUCUGAGGAUGGGGUUCUACUUCACCUUCGUAUAGGAUACCACAUCUUUCCCAUGGACUGUCAGGAAACUGGUCAGACUUGGCUUUCACUGAAACUACCUCACCUACCCACCACUUACCACCUUGCUCACUCUCAUCCUUCCACCAAACCAGACACUUAUCUCCAUAUGACCAAUUUCUCUCCAUUGCACUCUCAUACCUUGAUCUCUCAAUUAGAAAGUCAGGGAAGUUGACUAGUUCAGGCAGUGUAAGCUUAAACUUCUGUCCAGAGACGGGGGAUGAGGAAUCUAUGAAUUGAAGUGUAACUUUACAGCAGCUCUCACCAGAGCCAGGAAGAGUUGCAUAUGAAAGAUGUUUUACUAAGCAAAUUUCGACAGCUUGGACUGCAGCUGCAUUCUUUGUCCAAGGACCACGCUCUGAUGAAUCACUAUAUUCUAUAUAUUCUUGAUGCCCCUGUCGGAAGUACACUACUUCAUCACCUAGCUGAGGAAUGUAGCGGUAACCCUCUUCACGUUCUGAUAAUAGCAACCAAUUCAGUUUUUUCACUGCCUCAUUCAAGCUCAUUCCAGAUGAAAAAACAUUUUCAUCCCUGGAAGAACCUUCUUUAGCGUUUCUAGAUGACCGGCACUUGAACACAUCAGUUGAAGUCCAUCCUAGUGGCGGAGAACCAGUAGCCUUCUUGGUUAGCUUUUCUGUGCUUCUUGAUGAACCUACAGCUACAUGGCUCUCUCUUAUUUUUGGGUCAUCUUUCCCGAUUGCUGCGUCUCUUGACAUUGCAGUAAAUCUUAAGGAUCUCUUUCUACGAGCUGCAUCAGUCGCGGCAUGAGGGAAUUCAGAACCUGUUUCGUUAUGAUCAUUAGAAGCAUUAGAAGCACUUCCACAAAUAUCAUGACUGCUACAUAAGCCGCUUCUAGAUCCAUGAGACUUGUUUCUGCCAACAGAAUCAUCCAUC
rnacentral:misc_RNA from 1 species